rnacentral:tRNA from 1 species
UGGCUCAGAUAGUAAAGAAUCUGCCUGCAAUGCAGGAAACCCAGGUUCGAUUCCUGG